rnacentral:rRNA from 1 species
ACGGGGUGCAGCAGGCGCGAACACUUUACAAUGCGGGAAACCGCGAUAAGGGAACCCCGAGUGCCAGCAUCAAAUGUUGGCUGUCCAGAUGAUUAAAAAUCAUUUGUUAGCAAGGGCCGGGCAAGACCGGUGCCAGCCGCCGCGGUAACACCGGCGGCCCGAGUGGUAGCCGUUUUUAUUGGGUCUAAAGGGUCCGUAGCCGGCCUGAUAAGUCCUUUGGGAAAUCUGGCAGCUUAACUGUCAGGCUUCUAAGGGAUACUGUCAGGCUUGGGACCGGAAGAGGUAAGGGGUACUCCAGGGGUAGGAGUGAAAUCUUGUAAUCCCCUGGGGGACCAUCUGUGGCGAAGGCGCCUUACCAGAACGGGUCCGACGGUGAGGGACGAAAGCUAGGGGAGCAAACCGGAUUAGAUACCCGGGUAGUCCUAGCUGUAAACGAUGCUCGCUAGGUGUCAGACACGGUGCGACCGUGUUUGGUGCCGCAGGGAAGCCGUUAAGCGAGCCACCUGGAAGUACGUCGCAAGGC